rnacentral:rRNA from 1 species
CGAACGCUGGCGGCGUGCUUAACACAUGCAAGUCGAACGAUGAAGUUCCUUCGGGAAUGGAUUAGUGGCGAACGGGUGAGAAACACGUGAGAAACCUGCCUUUCAUUUUGGGAUAACUCCAGGAAACCGGAGCUAACACCGAAUACUCCGUCUCGGCGGCAUCGCUGAGCCGGGAAAAAAUUUUGAUGAAAGAUGGUCUCGCGGCCUAUCAGCUAGUUGGUGAGGUAAUGGCUCACCAAGGCGACGACGGGUAGCCGGCCUGAGAGGGCGACCGGCCACACUGGGACUGAGACACGGCCCAGACUCCUACGGGAGGCAGCAGUGGGGAAUAUUGGGCAAUGGGCGCAAGCCUGACCCAGCGACGCCGCGUGAGGGAUGAAGGCCUUCGGGUUGUAACCUCUUUCAGUAGGAAGAAGCGAAAGUGACGGUACCUAAACGAAGAAGCACCGGCUAACUAUGCGCCAGCAGCCGCGGUAAUCUGAUGGCGCGAGG